GAUCGAGGUGGCGUCUCGUCGCUACGGUUCUCUCUCUCUCUGUGUUCCUGAGAAAGUGUGUGUGAGCUCCAGCACUACUGAUCCAUCAUCUGUGUGUUUGGAUAAACCUCUGAAUGGACUGUGUGCUCUUUUUUCUGGAGCGUUUACCUCGGACUAAAGGAGCUAGCUUAGCAUGCUAGCUGGAAACACGUUAGCAACACUAGUCAGAUUGAGAGUUUGAUGGACAGAGAAACGGUUUGUUUAACGGAGUUUGCAGGAAAAGGUGAUCUAGUAAACAUGAGUAAAGUCCAAAUGCUGCUGUCGUUGAAGAAGCAGCGACUCACUGCUGCUGUUGAAGAUAUAUUUGCUCUGUUUGAAAAAACGAUAGCAGAGUACGAGGAGGAGCGGUCUCUUUCCAAAGAGGAGAACAAGAGACUCCAGAAACGACUGGACGCUGUUUUACAGCCUCAGCUUCGGAUACACAGAGCAGGUGUACAUGUGUAAAUUGCGCCACGAUGCCUUCUGAACGGAGAAUGUGCUGCAUGGAGAUACCACAGACUGGACGUCUGUCAACAACGAUAAUUAUUUGGGCGUCACAGCGCAUUUCAUUGAACAAGACUGGACUCUGCAGUCGUUUGCACUUACUGUGAGUAAAACCGAGGAGCGACAUUAUGCCGAGGCAUGUGCUAACCUUUUCUGGAUGUUGCAAACGAAUGGGAAAUCAAGGAAAAGUUGACCACACUCGGCACUGACAGCACUCGUAACAUGGUAGCUGCCGCGAGUCUACUUCCAUUUCAAUACCUGCCUUGCAUGGCCCACAGUCUGCAAAGAACGGUCACAGUCUCACUUAAAAACAGUGGAUUUGAAAGUGUUCUGGCCAAAUGUCGCAAGAUUGUCGGGCACUUUAAACAUUGUCCAUCUAACGCUCAGGAAUUAAACGAAGAGCAAGUUGCACACGGACUUAAGCAAGAAUCACUUGCUCAGGACGUUGCAACAAGAUGGAAUUCUACGCUGGAGAUGGUAAAGAGGAUGCAGAGAAACAAAUCUCCACUGACCACUACCCUGGCGCAGCAAAAGAGCAAGGUUGCCAUGGUGACUGACCCGGAGCUUGCCAAACUGCAAAAGCUGGAGGAACUACUUGAACCUUGCAAAUAUGUGACUGAACUGCUGGGGGGGAGCAGUAUGUCUCCUGUUCAGUGGUCUUGCCAGCCUUACGCCACUUGUGCAGAGUUAUGGAGCCCUCAGGUGAUGAUCCAGUUUAUGUUCUGAGGUUCAAGAAGGCCUUUACCACAGACCUAGCUCAACGGAAGGAUAGCACCAACCUCAAAUGGCUGAAGAUCACUACUUCCCUUGACCCUAGGUUUAAAGACCUUAAGUGCCUUACAAAAGAUGAAAGGAGUGAGGUGUGGGCUUCAGUACGCGACCUGAUGAUGAGAGACACACGUGCACAACAACCACCUGCUGAGACAACAGAGGAGCCGUCACCAAAGGAGAGGAGGAGGAUGUCCAUCUUGCUGUGUUCUUCUGAUUCAGAUACAGAUGACAAGGAGGAGUCCAUAGAGCAUUGUCUGGAUCGCUACAAAGCAGAGCCAAAAAUGGACAUAGAGGGGUGUCCACUACAAUGGUGGUCAAAGAGAGAGGGAGCACAUGCCAGGCUGGCACCCAUUGCACGCAAGUACCUGUCAACCCCUGCAACCACAGUGCCUUGUGAGAGGUUGUUCUCACUCUCAGGCCACAUCGUACAAAAGAAGCGAGCUUCUUUGUCCCCUCAUAACGUAAACAAACUGGUAUGCCUCAGUA